AUUGGGCGGUGCCCGGAGAGAGGCCAAUGCAGGGGCUGAGUCGGCAGAGGGAGCUGAAUGCUGACAUCGGUGCGGGCUGCGCGUGGCCAGCUCAGCGAGCGCUUCGCAGACUAGCAUAUCCUUUCCUUUACUAUUUUAUCUUACUUUUGAGUCUUAAAACGGGACUCUUAGGGAAGAUUAGGGAUUCUUGCCUCCCUUUUAGAGAUGGGGAAACUGAGGCUCCGAGAGGCUGCCAGUCACCGUGAAUCAAUUACUGAGCAUCACCCGUGCUUAUUAGAACGUGUACGGUGGAAACAUCUCCAUCUUGCGGGCGGGCAAACUGGGAAGCAGGCGAGUGAAGCAGCUUGCUCAAAGUCGUCUAGCUAUUAAGUAGUAUUAAGUAUUGGAUAGUUUUAAGUGGUAGGAUUACGGGGUGUAUGGCUUUCCUAGGGCUACUGUAACCAAUAACCAGAAAUUUAGUGGCUUAAGACAACAGGUGUUCUUUCACGGUUCUGGAGGCCAGAAAUCCAAAAUCAGGGUGUCGGCGGGUCUGCGCUGCCCCAGGAGUCUGCGGGGGAGGGUCCGUCCUUACCUCUUCCGGCUGCUGGUGGUUCCAGGUGUCCUUGGCUUGUGGCUGCAUCGCUCCAGGCUCUGCCUCUGUCUUCACCUCCCCUCUAGUGUCUGAGUCAAAUCUGUCCUCUCUCCUCUCUCUAAUUAGGACACCUGCUAGUGGGUUUAGAACCCAUCUAAAAUCCAGGAUGAUCUCAUCUUGAGAUCCUUAAUUUUUAGGUGUCCAAAUAAGGUCACGUUCAUAGGUGCCAGCGAUUAGGACGUGGGCAUACCUGUUUAGGGGGCCGCUGUUCAACCCACUGCAUGAGAAUUUACUGCUUUGUAGUAGGUUCCUUUGAAGAUCACAUUUCGCCGUCUCCACGUCUUAGGUAGACUGCAACAAAAAGACACACACACACACACACACACGCAAACAUGUGCCCUCAAGCCGAGAGUAGAGGACUUAAGGGGUCGCUGUGUUUCAAAGUCAUUCGUUUACUCAACAGAUAUUUAUUGAUAUGUAUGAAAGCGCUCUUAAUUAAGUGACAAUUAGAGGGUUGUUCUCUGCACACUGUGACCCUGGUCAGGCGGGCUGUAGCAGGCUUUACAAGGCAGCUCUGAGAUAUUAGGCUUUUAUGAGAGGGCAUGUGGGCUGCCCAGCCUGUCCUGGCUUCGUAUACUUUUAUUUUAUUAUUUUUAUGAACUGCCUUUAUUAAAAUGCGCGACUUAACGUAGGCUUCCAGAAAGAAAUUCACAAAUCAGAAGGUCUUUCAAAAGUAUUAAAAGAAAGUGGAAUGCUCUUUGCCAAUCGGCCCGUCCCAGUAAAAUAUGGUCGCCACAUGUCGGGGAAGGACGGACCGUUCCUGGGCUGCGUUCACCGUGCAUUCAAUAAACAGCCACGUGGUAACAUUAUUAUUCGUCUUCCUGCUCUCCUGCCUCCUGGUUUUGUCUCUGCCUCUGUCUUUCCCAGCAAAUAUAAUCCGGGGGCACCUGGACCCCGCCUGGCUGGCCUCUCUGAUUACGCCCAAGGAUUAAAAAACAGGCAGGUGACAGGAAAGUGCAAAGGUCACACAGCUCAGAAGUUACACAGCCGCAAUUCCAGUCCAGCUGUGAUAGAUCCAGCACAAAAAUGUCCCCUGCCUUUAUCCACAUCCGUGGCAGGAGACUUUGCAGCUCUUCCCAUCAGGAGACAGAGCCUGUUUCCCCACCUCUGGCAUCGGGGCUGGCCGUGUGACCUGUCUGGAGCAGCAGAAUGGGGCAGAAGCCUAGGCCACGAGGAGCAUGCACCUCCUGACAACAGACCCAGGUUGAUCAUCUGGGUGACGAGAGGCUCCUGGUCUGGUCACUCCCUCGCCCACGGCGACAGCUGGCCAUCCACGGAAUGUGUGGGUGGGGCCAUGCUAGACCACCCAGCCCCUUGCUCUUCGGCCCGCUGACCAGAGACAUCUCUGGAGCCCAGCCCAGAUCCGCGGAGCCCCAGCGUACUCAAGCAGCACCAACCGGCUGGCUGUGGCGGUGAAUUUUAUGAGUCAACUUGACAGGGCCGUGGCUGCCCAGCUGAUUGGUUAACCGUCAUGCUGGGUGUGUCUGUGAGGGUGUUCCCGGAAGAGAGUAGCAUGUGAAUUGGUAAACUGAGGAAAGCAGAUGGCCAUCCCAGCCUGGGUGGGGCUCAGCCAUCCCGUUGGAAGCCUUAGGAGAACAAAAGGUGACAUGAAGGAGAAUUCUCUUUCUCUGCUUGUCUUUAAGCUGGGACAUGGGUCUCCUCCCGCCUGCGGGCUCUGACUGGGACUUGCCCCUCCCCUCUCCUGAUGGCCAGCUUGUCACCUGCAGAUGGUGGGAUCUCAGCUUGGGUCACUGCGUGAGCCAAUUCCUAUAAUACAUCUCUCUCUCUCCUAUGUGUCUCCUAUUGGUUCUGUUUCUCUGGAGAACCCAGGAUAAUUGGCUGACUGUAGACUCAUGAGCAAUAACAGGUGCUAACUGUUUUAGGCCCCUGGGCCAUGGGCUGGCUUGUUGCGCGGCAAUAGCUAACUGAUACACUGUAUCUGCCUGUGGCCUUGGAGCUGCCCCAUCGCCUUCCGUGCUCUGUGGACCUUUCUCACAGGACAGGUUUCUUCAAACAGCAGCUCAUCUCGGGCUCCUGACACUUUUUAGUUUAAUACAAUUCAGCAAAUAUUUGAGUGACUCUGCUGCCAGCUGUGCUGCGGGCAGAUGCCUCCUUCGCACGUACAGAGGAUCACUGAGACCUGCUUUGAAAAGUGAGCUCGUUUUCUGACUUUGGGCUCCGGGUCCUGCAAAGGCACCACUGACCCCCACUCCCCACCGGCUCAGCUCCGGCCACACUGGCCGCUUCCUGCUUCUCGACUGUGCAGCCCUCGUCCUCACCUGCUGUGGGUUGAACCGUG
ensembl:lncRNA